UGAUUUGAUUUUGUUCAACUUUUUAGUAUUUAGUCGCAUUUUUGUUGUUCUUAAAUCGCGUAAGCUUUAAUUGUUUCAUAGUUUGUUUUUGUUUUUGCUUUUGUUUUUCGUACGCUCUUGAUAGACGCCUUCGUGUGGAAUAAAAUUCUUGUUUUUAUUCAGUUUUUGUUUUUUUUUUCGCUUUUGUUUUUUAUUUAAUCUCGCCCCGCCCCUCAUUUAUAACAGUGCACUCAGUAUAUAUAUAUACAUAUUGAUAUAUAUAUAUAUAUUGUCUUUUUUUUUGUUUUUGUUAAACUUAUGCAUUUUGUACGGAAUUUCAAACUUAAUUUUCUGUUAUUUAUGUUUUUUAGUAGCAUUUUCGGUUAAUUUUUUGUAGCAUGUGUUCGUUCCUCUUUUAUAAUAAUUAUUAAAUGGAUUUUAUAUUCCUCGUGGAUUUGCUUUUGUUGUUCUUGUUGUUGUUGUAUUAUUUGUCAAACAGCCAACAAAAUGUUGAUAGUCAUGAAGCUAGUCAAAUUGGCAAUUGGCAAUUGGCAAGCGUUGGUUAGUCGAAUAACGGCAAUUGGGAAUAAGUCAAGGCCCCGUUAGGUGGCAGGAGUAUAAAUCAAAAGGCGCUUGGCAGCUGGGAGAAACGAAGUGGACGACGAAAGAUCGAGCAGCGGCUGGAAUCAGUCGAUUCCGAACCAAUCAACUUCGAUAACCAAAGCAAUCGAUAAAUGUUAAAAUACUUGGACUUGGCUGCGUUUGAUUCUGUUGUUGUUUUGCUUUUUGUUGUUGUUGUUUUUUUUCUUUUAAAGUUUGUUUUACAAAGGCAACGCUUAAACUGGUCCCCAUAUAAUAUUAUAGCUGUGAUUUGUUACUCCAAUUCGUUCGGCCAGAGCCACAAAGUGCGACUGCAGCUGCAACUGUUAUACGCCGUUGCAAGUCCAAUUCGAGUUCGAAAAAGAAGCCAAGCUGCCGAAAGCUAAGCCAAUGACAAUCAAAACUACCAAAAAAUAAAAAAACUUAAAAUUAUAAAGCAAAAAUGUCUUGCAGUAAGCAUAAAAGACUAUUGGGAGCUCAAUGCUGAUGUUUUUUUUUCGCUUUUGGUUCGGUUUGCGUUGAAAAUUGUUGCUAAAUUGGUACUCAAAAAGUUGUUGUUAUACAAUUUCGAUAUGGUAUGCAAGUGUGUACGAGUAUGUGUAUGUGUACGUGUGUGUGUAUGUGUACGUGUGUGUGUAUGUGUGUGUGUGGGGGGUGUUGAUGUACAUACAUAUGUACUUAUGUAUGCUGUAAAUGUGAACAAUUUCUACACAGAGUUCGUAUUUCAUAUAUAUGUAGAGCAAGGCAGUGUGUUUAAAGCACAUGUGUGUGAGUGUAUCUGUGUGUGUGUGUGUGUGUGUAGAUAUAGAUUAGCAUUUUUUGUUUAUUAUUUAUUUAGAUAAGUCGCUGUUAUUUGCUAUUCGCUUAUUUGUUACGUUUUUUUUAUCAAAAGAUUUUUUUUUUUCAUUUUGCAUUUACAAAGCGUAGUUUUUUUAAGUUUUUUUCUUUUGGUAAAUUUGUUUUGUUUUGUUUUGGUCUUUUUAAAGCGUGUAUUAAUAUAUUCGUCUAUGAGGAUAUCACUCGGGGUCGAACAAUCGAAGCCAAAGAAUGAAGCAUACUUUAAGGCGUUUGAAAAAAUUUCAAGCAUUUGCUUUAGAGUUUGGCAUUAAAAUUGAUAUUGAAACAGGUUUUAAAAUACUUAUUGAAAGUGCGCUUGGAAAACAUUUGGCGCGUGUGUCACAUAAAGAAGCAAAGCAUGAAUACAGAAAAGGAAAAAACAGCCUUAGCCCUGCUGGCUGCUUACUUCGGCCGGGUUACUUAGGAGUAGAUCGAAGCGAGUUUCGACGUCUUCUUCUUCUUUUUUCGAAUACGAAAUCAUAAUCAAAGGAAAAGUAAAACAGAUUUAUAUAUAUUUAAAUGCAGGGUAAUUGGCAGGGCAUCGCCUGUCUGAGUCUGACUUCGGGGAAAGGGGGACGGGGGUUUUGUCAGCAGCUGAGAAACGGGGCUAGCGCACGGGCUGGGAAUUUGUCGUUAGUCAGUUUCAACGGGCAGGCAGCAGCAGAAAUGAUAACAGCAUCCCUUUUAUGUACAUGGAGUAGUAUAAAAUGGAAGCUCUCUGUUGCAGAUAUUAAUGUAGUAAAGCAUAUUUUAAGCCAUCUUUUGUACAGUUUAUUUGUUGGAUGUCUGGUCCAGACACACAUAGCCAUAUGGGUUAUCUACCUAGUUGCUUAUCCAAAAACGAACCAAAAUUUAUUGAAAAGAAGUUGAAGUAGAAGAAGUAGUAAAAGUAAACAAAAACUGGGGGAGGCUUUGGGGCUUUGAUUGAAUAUACACAUUUUGAGGUAUUCCCAAUUUCUUGGCCCGGGCUGUUGUCAUAUUUUGUUCUUUUCGCUUUCGAUUGUGUGUGCUUACGUAUGCGCGAUUGUUAAGCUGUAGCAAUAAAAACGAUCGAGUCGAUCGAGUCGAUCGAGCUCGAGGCUGGCAGUAAAAAGUUGUAAAAUAAAAGAUUUAAGUAAUAUUAUAAUAGAUUAAACAAUAAUUGUAAUGUAAUUGUUAAUACUCGCAAUAUCAUAGAAUUAUUUCAAUAUA